GUGGGGAAUUUUGCGCAAUGGGGGAAACCCUGACGCAGCAACGCCGCGUGAGUGAUGAAGGCCUUCGGGUCGUAAAGCUCUGUCAGAGGGGAAGAAAUGCUGGGGUGCUAAUAUCAUCUUUGCUUGACGGUACCCUCAAAGGAAGCACCGGCUAACUCCGUGCCAGCAGCCGCGGUAAUACGGAGGGUGCGAGCGUUGUUCGGAAUUAUUGGGCGUAAAGCGCGUGUAGGCGGUUUGGUAAGUCUGAUGUGAAAGCCCCGGGCUCAACCUGGGAAGUGCAUUGGAAACUGUCAGACUUGAAUACGGGAGAGGGUAGUGGAAUUCCUAGUGUAGGAGUGAAAUCCGUAGAUAUUAGGAGGAACACCGGUGGCGAAGGCGGCUACCUGGACCGAUAUUGACGCUGAGACGCGAAAGCGUGGGGAGCAAACAGGAUUAGAAACCCGAGUAGUCC
rnacentral:rRNA from 1 species